rnacentral:tRNA from 1 species
AGGCGCGUAGCUCACCGGUAGAGCACUGCCAGUACAUGGCAGAGGUAGGAGGUUCGAUUCCUUCCCGCGCCUACCA